UACAGAGGGGGCCAGCGUUAUUCGGAAUUAUUGGGCGUAAAGGGCGCGUAGGCGGCCAUGCGUGUCUUUCGUGAAAUCCCUCGGCUUAACUGAGGACGUGCGGAAGAAACUGCAAGGCUUGAGUCCGGGAGAGGGUGUGGGAAUUCCUGGUGUAGCGGUGAAAUGCGUAGAUAUCAGGAGGAACACCGGUGGCGAAGGCGCACACCUGGCCCGAUACUGACGCUGAGGCGCGAAAGCUAGGGGAGCAAACGGG
rnacentral:rRNA from 1 species